rnacentral:rRNA from 1 species
GAUGAACGCUAGCGGCAGGCCUAACACAUGCAAGUCGAGGGGCAGCACGUCUUCGGAUGGUGGCGACCGGCGCACGGGUGCGUAACGCGUAUGCAACCUACCUCUUACAGUGGGAUAGCCCAGAGAAAUUUGGAUUAAUACCGCAUAGUAUACAGAUUCAGCAUUGGGACUGGUAUUAAACAUUUAUGGGUAAGAGAUGGGCAUGCGUUCUAUUAGUUAGUUGGAGUGUAACGGNACCCCAGACAGCGAUAGAUAGGGGCCCUGAGAGGGGGAUCCCCCGACACUGGUACUGAGACACGGACCAGACUCCUACGGGGAGCAGCAGUGAGGAAUAUU